UCUAUAUCUAUACCACUCUUGUCUCAUCUAGGAAGCUAAGCAGGGUUGGGCCUGGUUAGUACCUGGAUGGGAGAAUCUACCUUGCCCUGGAAACCUAUGAGGAACUGGGGG
rnacentral:rRNA from 1 species